UGACCUAUGCAAGGAUAGUGUUCGCUC
rnacentral:sRNA from 1 species